rnacentral:lncRNA from 1 species
GUCACUUGAGGAUUAUUUUUAUCUAUCUUUUCCUUUGAUGUUUAAGAAAAUCCUUAAGGAGUGGAGAAUGAGAAUGGAUAAGGAACAUUCUUUCAAGACUUCUUGUUUCUAGUGUCUAUCUUAAGUUAGGCCCUCAUCAGCUUUUACCUAGAUCCUUAUGUCUAAGACCAACUUUUAGUUCUUAUUCCUACUAAAAUUUAUUCAUCAGACUCUCAUAUUGAUUUAUUUUCUCAUCCCAAAUUGGAAUGGUCUCUACUGACUAUAGGGUAGGAUCCUCCUCCAAACCACAGAUAGAACAAGGGUAAGGGUCCUUUAUAAUUUGGCCUUAUUAGCCUUACUGUAUUAUUUUGUCUUCUGCUUUUAUUCACCAGUUGUUUCAGUCAGCCAGUAUUAUGUAACAAAAUAACUCCCACAACCGAGUGAUUUAUUUCAAUAUUAUCUCUCUCACAUGUAUAAAUUAGCUAGAAUCAGUUAAUCUAUAUUAGGCUUAUUCAUGCAUCUGUUGGUCAUUUGACUUGUCCAGAUGUCAGCGGAUCAGAUGAGGACUCUAUUCUGGCUGGAGACUUUAGCUGGGCUAGCUUUUUUCAGUGUGUCUCCCCUCUGGGACCAACAUCUAGAUCAGACACAUUCAUGUAUGUUUCUCCCCUGGAAUCAAU